rnacentral:rRNA from 1 species
CCUACGGGCCGCACCAGUGGGGAAUAUUGCACAAUGGGCGCAAGCCUGAUGCAGCCAUGCCGCGUGUAUGAAGAAGGCCUUCGGGUUGUAGAGUACUUUCAGCGGGGAGGAAGGCGAUAAGGUUAAUAACCUUGCCGAUUGACGUUACCCGCAGAAGAAGCACCGGCUAACUCCGUGCCAGCAGCCGCGGUAAUACGGAGGGUGCAAGCGUUAAUCGGAAUUACUGGGCGUAAAGCGCACGCAGGCGGUCUGUCAAGUCGGAUGUGAAAUCCCCGGGCUCAACCUGGGAACUGCAUUCAAAACUGGCAGGCUAGAGUCUUGUAGAGGGGGGUAGAAUUCCUGGUGUAGCGAUGAAAUGCGUAGAGAUCUGGAGGAAUACCGGUGGCGAAGGCGGCCCCCUGGACAAAGACUGACGCUCAGGUGCGAAAGCGUGGGGAGCAAACAGGAUUAGAUACCCUAGUAGUC